GAUCCAGACUCCUACGGGAGGCAGCAGUGGGGAAUAUUGCACAAUGGGGGAAACCCUGAUGCAGUAACGCCGCGUGAAGGAAGACGGUUUUCGGAUUGUAAACUUCUGUUCUUAGUGAAGAAGAAUGACGGUAGCUAAGGAGCAAGCCACGGCUAACUACGUGCCAGCAGCCGCGGUAAUACGUAGGGAGCGAGCGUUGUCCGGAAUUACUGGGUGUAAAGGGAGCGUAGGCGGGACUGCAAGUUGGGUGUCAAAUCUACCGGCUCAACCGGUAGCCGCACUCAAAACUGCAGUUCUUGAGUGAAGUAGAGGCAGGCGGAAUUCCUAGUGUAGCGGUGAAAUGCGUAGAUAUUAGGAGGAACACCAGUGGCGAAGGCGGCCUGCUGGGCUUUUACUGACGCUGAGGCUCGAAAGUGUGGGGAGCAAACAGGAUUAGAUACCCUUGUAAAG
rnacentral:rRNA from 1 species